UUGGUUUUCCUGUUUGCACAG
rnacentral:miRNA from 1 species